rnacentral:rRNA from 1 species
AUUGAACGCUGGCGGCAGGCCUAACACAUGCAAGUCGAGCGGAUGAAGGGAGCUUGCUCCUGGAUUCAGCGGCGGACGGGUGAGUAAUGCCUAGGAAUCUGCCUGGUAGUGGGGGAUAACGUCCGGAAACGGGCGCUAAUACCGCAUACGUCCUGAGGGAGAAAGUGGGGGAUCUUCGGACCUCACGCUAUCAGAUGAGCCUAGGUCGGAUUAGCUAGUUGGUGGGGUAAAGGCCUACCAAGGCGACGAUCCGUAACUGGUCUGAGAGGAUGAUCAGUCUCACUGGAACUGAGACACGGUCCAGACUCCUACGGGAGGCAGCAGUGGGGAAUAUUGGACAAAGGGCGAAAGCCUGAUCCAGCCAUGCCGCGUGUGUGAAGAAGGUCUUCGGAUUGUAAAGCACUUUAAGUUGGGAGGAAGGGCAGUAAGUUAAUACCUUGCUGUUUUGACGUUACCAACAGAAUAAGCACCGGCUAACUUCGUG